rnacentral:rRNA from 1 species
UACGUAGGUCCCGAGCGUUGUCCGGAUUUAUUGGGCGUAAAGCGAGCGCAGGUGGUUUAAUAAGUCUGAUGUAAAAGGCAGUGGCUCAACCAUUGUGUGCAUUGGAAACUGUUAGACUUGAGUGCAGUAGAGGAGAGUGGAAUUCCAUGUGUAGCGGUGAAAUGCGUAGAUAUCGGGAGGAACACCAGUGGCGAAGGCGGCUCUCUGGACUGUAACUGACACUGAGGCUCGAAAGCGUGGGUAGCAAACAGG